GGGAGGCUCCUGAGAGAGCUUAGCAGGUGUAAGAUUGCUGUUGGCUGUUCAUGUUGCAGCAGCAAAAUGCAGAGGCUGAAGGGAACUGGCGUGUCGGGCGCCUGAGGCCCUUCAGCGUCCUGACGUCUCCGAGUCCUCCGCAGGGGCGGUUUGCGUCCAGGGGCCAGAUCAUCUCAGGUACGACAGGCUGAGCAGUCGGUGAUCGGUGACCCCACGGCAUCCUCAGUCCCUCUGGAACUGUCCCUCAGUCCGGGGGUACUGAGGCAGAAAGGGGCCUGUGGAGGACGGCAGUGGUAGAAGGUGCCUGGGAGCCUCCAGGAGCACAGAUCAUGAAGAUCCAUGGAGAAAGGCACCAAAAUCAGGUCAGAAUCAGGAGACCCCACAUCAUCCCUGAGAUCUUUAAGGUCAUCUCUUCUGAUUAUGCUUAGGGGGCUGAGGACGAAUCCAGCAGUCCUCGCAGAUGUACUGUACACACUCUUGCAGUCACGAAACCUACAGUGCCUGACAAAGGGGCAGCAGCAGGGGUGGCAGAGAUAACAAUAGGAGCCACAGCAGGUGCUGUGGAUACUCAGGACAGAUCGACUUGACACCGGCAGGAGCAGCCUUCAUGGAUCCAGGAGGAAGCAGAGCCAGCAUGCCCAGGGCGGGUGCUUCCGGCGUGUCCCCACCAUGAGGUGAGGACUUAACAUGUUUGUAGCAAGUAAUUCCCGCAUGUCAGCAGGAGCUGCCAGUCUCUCUCCAGAGGGCAGCAUGAGUGUGGUGCUCGCAGGAGCAGAGUCGACUGACAAGCCUGUUUCAGAAACCGCUGAAGUUCCAGUAGCGGGACCACUCAUCUCAAGUGUGCAGACUGAAAGCUGCAUUAUUAAACAGGAAGGAAGCCAGAAGGUCUCCAAACCAGUGCUGAAGCCUAGAGGGAAAGAAAGGAAAAUGACAGAACUCCCGAGAGAGGGCAUUCCCAUCACCAUCCUGUCCAAUGGAGAGGACAAAUCAACCCUAACAUCGUCCUUCUGCUGGUCUGUAGCCUGCUGUGGAACCACUAGGGGUGGAAAAGAAGGAAAAAGUCUGGAGCAGCCCAGGAAGCAGAGGACACCGCUCCUCCUUCCAUGGGAAAGAAACACAUCAGCUUUCGCUCCACCGCAGAGGAGUCUGGGUGGGUGGUCAGAUUUUUCUUCUCCUCUUACUUUCUAUUGAUGUCAAUACAAUUCUGAAAGGCCGUGGACUCAGGUGUGGGUGGUGAAUCAAGAGCAAUGAAAGCACUAACCUUCUCAAGGAGCUCACAGUGCAUUAGAGCGGAUUGUGCACUUUUCUCUUUUUUUUCUUUGCCUGCUCAUGAGUAUCCCAAAUGCUGAAUCACAGAGAGUGCAAGGCAGAUUGAUGAGUGUCAUAGGAGAGGAAUCACGUAAACUUGAAAUGAUCUGAAUGUUUUUUUCACUGUAAGGGUAGAGACGUGGCACACAGGUCAACUCAAUCGUGCAGUGAACUGAAUGGGAAGAGAAACUUAGUCUUGCUGCUUAUAUUACAGAAUAAGAAUAAUGCAUCUUUUUCCUCUUUCGGGAUUUUAGAUUUUCCCUUUUUCACUGGAUUUAAGCUGUUUGAUUAUGGUGCGACUUUGUGUAGUUUUCUUCAGGAUUCUUAUGCUGUGGGUUCGUUGAGCUUUUUAGAUCUGUGAGUUUGUACUAUUCAUCAAAUCUGGGAAGUUUUCAGCCAGAAUUUUUUCAAAAAAAUCUUAGCGCUAUCUCAAUACAAUGCACAACAGCUAAUCUACAAGCAAAGUCAAAGAUGGGUGGGCAAUGCUGAUGAAUACAAGGCAUUUAAUUUGCUCACUUAAGACGCAUCACUCAGACUGAUGCAACAAUGGUGAUUCAUCACCAUGAACUGCGAAUCCUGAUUACUGACAGCCGUGGUCUGGGAAAAACCAGAGACAGUGACUAAAGAAGCAGAUGAUUUAUGCUGCAUUGUUUUGAUAUUAAAAAGUGCAUUGCUUUCAGACCUAUUUUUUGAGCUGCUGUAUUGGUUUUAUAGUUUUCCUCCAAACUUCUGCACCCUUUAUAGAAAACUGGGAGUUUUUGCAUCAUGAAAAGGGGUUUCUUGGGACACAUGACUUUCAUUACUAAAAGCAGGCUAAUCCCAUAUAAACUGGGAUGAUUUAUUGCCCCACGGCCAGCUCUCUUGAAGCCUUCCUGGAGAGCACCAAGGCUACCACAGUAUGUUUUCACCCACCUCCCGAAGUGGAGCUGGUCCAGCUAAGGUGAGCAUAUGGAUGUGGAUAGCAGGAAUCGGGGGCCUCACAGGCAGUGGGAGGAGAUCAGUGAAAGAAUCCAGUAAAGGAAGGAGAGAGAGAAGCAGCUAGGACUAGACUCAAUGGUGAUGAAAUUUUGACCAUAGUAGUGGUUUCCAUUGUGAUUCUGAAAAUAUGAUGACCCUUUCCGUGGAAUUUAUUACUACAGUGACAUGGAAAACGGUCAAUAUCAAUUCUAUUCUCAAGCAGACUUGUAGCCUUCAUAGACUUCUAGGAAAAAAAAAUAAUAAAGAUAAAAAAAUUUAAAAACAAAUGAAAAGAAUCUAUAUUUUUCAACAACAAGAGAGACAGAGUUUGAAUGGGAAGAUCAGAAAGCAUCCAGAGGUUCAAAUCAUAUUUCCACCAAUGUUGGCCAUAUAAACUGUUAUGGGUGAUAAGACUAUGCAAAUAUGAUAACAGGAGGCCAAAGACUAUAACAAAAAAGGUCUGUCAGAAUUUACCGUUUCAGAUCAUCAAAACAUGGUAGAAACUCAUUGUACCGAAAUGUCUGUAAUUUUACUUUAAUUAAAAAUAACCAUAUUACAAAGAUUGAUGAAGAGUAAGAAGAUGAAGUUACCAAUUUUCAGACCAAAGUCAACUGUGAUGAUGACAUUUCUAGCAAAGACCAUGGAACUUCAGAAGACACAGAGAAGGAAGAGACAGAAAAAAAGACUUGGCACACAAGUGUGAAUAAUUACUAGAUCUCUGCUACUACAGUCAGCAAGGAAAGUAGAGCACACUCUGUGAAUUCUUGGAAGUGGUCUCAGUAAGUCCCAUGGAGAAAUCUAUUUUGACUAUGUCUUAAAAGUUAUAAAAUUGUGAAUCCAGGCAUCAAAAUGGUAACACUGUUCAUGGGAAACAGAUGAUUAUAUCAUGAAUUAAAUGUGAUAUGUAUUCAACUGAGUAUGAGAUUAAAGGGGAAAUUGGCUCUUUCAUAUUGACCCAGGCUGUGAUGCCCGGGAUGGCAGUGGAUGAGAACAGGUGAGAGGAAGGAAGGAAGGGAGGGAGGCAAGAAGGGAGGGGAAAAAUGUUUUUUAAAAAUGUUCUCUAUAGUUUACAUGAGACAGACUAUGAAAACAAAGCAUUUGAAUAAUCUAAAAUAUGAAGGCCGUAGGAAAAAUGUAAAGAAAAUAUUGGAAGUGAAGAAACUUUUCAAGUGUUGGUUCUGAAAUCACUGAUAGCAAAAAAAAAGGUUGGAAAAUUUUGGAGACGAUGUGUUGGAUAAAAGGAGAAGCUUAGAGAGGGUGGGGGAAAAUAAAUGCUCUAAUCCAUUUGGAGCUUUCCAAACACAUCCGGCCUUGGGGUCAGGCAACCCGCUCCAUGGAAGAUGUUCAUGUCCUCCAAAAUGGAAGAAAAAGAACUAGGGCAAAGCCAGAGAGAGAUUUGCCCCAAACUUCCCAGAAAUCAAACUUUAGGAAGAUGCUACGGAAGCUCUGCUUUGGGUAAAAGGAUCAAUCUCAGAACAAACAUUACAACUUUUAAAGAGUUUUGAGUCUUUCAUUUAUUGCAGAAAUUUUUCUCCCUAUAGAAAUAAGUGUGAUAGGGAAACAAUCGCUAUUUACUCCAUCACUAUUCUAAAAUAUGUAAUAAGUUUUGCUUGAUAUGAAUUAUUUAGCCAUAUUGGACAAAUUAAAUAUAUGAAGCCUCCCUCAGUGGGUGAUGAGUGCCAAUGCUAAGCCAUGUCCCCCUGGGUGACUAUUGAGUAUGACUUCACCUAUUUUCUAGUUGUCACUCUAGACAACCAAAUCAGUCCUUUCAAGUGUAUGGGUCCACGGCAGGUGCAUUGGAUUGAGGAGGAAGUGGGAUUAGGAAAAUGCAGCAGCAUUUUGAGGGCAGGUUUACUUAGAUCAAGGAAAGAAGAGAGUCCCAACUGGCACUUGUUGUACACAAAUAUUGCCAACGUGGUAUUUUAACUCAGAAUUGUCCCUGCCUGGGACAGACACCAGGGCAGAGUCAGGAAGUACAAGACUGGAAGUUGGAUGUUCAGGGUCGCCAUCUCAAGUCUGUCACUAGGACUAAGUUAUCCUCAGAAUGCCUCCUGACCUCAGUUUUCUCACAUGCAAAACGAGGGAUUGGGUUCAAUACGUAACGCAAUGCAACAUUAAUCAAAUGCCUUUUAUGCUCCAGGAAUUUUACCAGAAUAAGAAAUUGUUAGGAUUCCUACCAUUUUGGGACUCCUCCUAUGAUUCUGUGACAAGAAGAUGGACUGUUGUUUGUUGCUUUAUUCACUCAUUGGGUGGAAAGACUGUAAAUCUAGCUCCCCGUGCAUGCUACCAUUCUUUGGUUUCCAUGCUAUAGACUUUAAUUGCAGAGGAAGUGGUCCGGGAUAGGAAAAGGCAAUGUACUGGCCACUGCUGGUCAUGUGAAACAACUGGACCAAACCACAGGAGAGAAACAGGUCUGUCUUGAGGAGAGGGGCUUCUGUCCUUCCCCAUCCACACCUUGCCCUCCCAGUGUUCCCAGGUGAUCCUUCCCGGUGGGUCUCCUCAAAGGAAGGAGAAGGCAGGGACCCAGCAAGGAGGUCAGAGUCUGUAGAGAAGCGUGGCCCAGCAGAACAUCCAUUAAAUGAUGUUUGGCUUGCAAGUGAUCCACCAUUUUCCUUAAAGGGGGAUCCUCACCUUACAUCUGAUUAAGUGAUGAGCAUGGAAAGGAUGACUGGAGAAAAAUCAGAAGACUAUUUUUUCUAAACUUUUUUUUCAGACUAUUAUACAUUCUUAUUAUGGAAAUUGGGAAGAUUAGAAACACACAUAAAACAAAACAAAGACCAUCCAUGGAAAUUUUUUAAAACCCUCUAAUUCAUUCCAUUUUAUUUUUUCAAACCGUAAUUUACUUUAUAAAAUUUGGACAUUUAUAUAUUUUUAAUAUUUUCUGAAAUAUUCUUCCUUGAAAUUAAAUGCUUUUAGACAUUCAUAAUUCAUAUUACCAUUUAACAUCUCUGUUAAUAUUUUAAGUAAAAAAAUUUUAACUUUAUUUAAUCUAGUAUUUCCCAAACCUCUCCUAAUUAACCUCUGGGGAAACAGUGGAGAAUGUUUAAGAAAGUUUAAAUUAAAUUAUCUUUAAGUUAUCCCCUUAUUCUAAAAUGGGUUAUUUCCGUACUUUGCCUUCUUUCUAAUAAACUUAUUUUGAUAAUUUGUUCUUCUUUUGCUGCAGUGCACGUGGUGAGGUCCCACAUUUUGCUGUUGGACCUUUCACCUGCUCCGUUAUGGGAACCAGGUUCCUCUGGGCAGUAGAACCGAGAGUAAGAGCCCUAAAUCAUUCCUCGCUGAAGCCACACUGAGGGGGGCUGAAGGGUGAGGGUCCAUGAGGGCUUCUAUUGUGUUGAGCAAAUAACAUCUUUUCCCAACAGAAGGGCUGAGAAUCACACUCCAUUCAGUACCAAGAUAAAACCAAGAUUCCCAACUGAAAUAACGCUACCAAACAAUGGUCCUUCCUUCGCAUUCCUGCUUCCCAAGCUUUCAGUCUCUUUUCUGUACAGAUCAUUUAACUCUUCUAGACAACCAUCUUACUCUUCCAGGUCACCAUCUUUCUCCACCAGGUCCCAACAAUGGACAAACUCAAAUGACAGCCUUCACAUCGCUCCAACCCACUUACUUUUAGAUUUUCCUUGCACCGUGAUGAAGAAAACAAUCACGGGAAUGCAGACCACAGUUAAAAUAAUACUCAAAAUUACCCACAUAAUAUUUCUGUUGAAGAAGGAAAAUAUUGACAUCAGUUCGGGUAAGUGGCAAUGUCUGUCAGUACAUAUUCCAUUUCGAAAAAGAGCCAGUAUCUAGUUCAUGCUGACCUUAAAGCAUCUCACCAUUUCUCUGUGUCUUUUUUCUGAUAACAUUUAAAUUCUCCUCUCUUGUAGCCCCUGUCUACCAUAGAGGGCGUAGGUUCAUCCUAAUCUCAUCACUCCACACACGCCUACACAGUUUUUAAAGCAACCAGUAAAAUAAUACAAAUCACUUCCCUGGUGUCCUACAGACAAAGCCAUCAUUUCAAUGAUUUUAAUGUAAUUCAACUAUUCAUUCUGUCAUUGCAUAAAUAUUAUGAAUAAAAGAACCUCUUAAGGAUAAAGGAAAAACUGCAACUUCACUGUGCUUCCAGUCAAUUUGCUG
ensembl:lncRNA